rnacentral:rRNA from 1 species
UACGUAGGGGGCAAGCGUUGUCCGGAUUUAUUGGGCGUAAAGAGCGUGUAGGCGGCCAGGUAGGUCUGCUGUGAAAACUCGAGGCUUAACCUCGAGAUGUCGGCGGAAACCAUCUGGCUAGAGUCCGGAAGAGGAGAAUGGAAUUCCCGGUGUAGCGGGGAAAUGCGCAGAUAUCGGGAAGAACACCCGGGGCGAAGGCGGUUCUCUGGGACGGUACUUACGCUGAGACGCGAAAGCGUGGGGAGCGAAC